GAUUAACGCUGGCGGCGUGCCUAACACAUGCAAGUCGAGCGGCAGCGAGUUUUACACUGAAUUCUGGAAGCUUCUAGUUGAAAGAGAAGAUUUAUUCAAGAAUUUUGUGUAAAAUGUCGGCGAGCGGCGGACGGCUGAGUAACGCGUGGGAACGUACCCCAAAGUGAGGGAUAACGCAUCGAAAGGUGUGCUAAUACCGCAUAUGGUCUUCGGAUUAAAGCCUUCGGGCGCUUUGGGAACGGCCUGCGUAAGAUUAGAUAGUUGGUGGGGUAAUGGCCUACCAAGUCGACGAUCGUUAACUGGUUUGAGAGGAUGAUCAGUCAGACUGGAACUGAGACACGGUCCAGACUCCUACGGGAGGCAGCAGUGAGGAAUCUUCCACAAUGGGCGAAAGCCUGAUGGAGCAACGCCGCGUGCAGGAUGAAGGCCUUCGGGUUGUAAACUGCUUUUAUAAGUGAGGAUUAUGACAGUAACUUAUGAAUAAGGAGCGGCUAACUACGUG
rnacentral:rRNA from 1 species